rnacentral:rRNA from 1 species
AUUGAACGCUGGCGGCAGGCUUAACACAUGCAAGUCGAGCGGGGGAAGGUAGCUUGCUACCGGACCUAGCGGCGGACGGGUGAGUAAUGCUUAGGAAUCUGCCUAUUAGUGGGGGACAACAUCUCGAAAGGGAUGCUAAUACCGCAUACGUCCUACGGGAGAAAGCAGGGGAUCUUCGGACCUUGCGCUAAUAGAUGAGCCUAAGUCGGAUUAGCUAGUUGGUGGGGUAAAGGCCUACCAAGACGACGAUCUGUAGCGGGUCUGAGAGGAUGGUCCGCCACACUGGGACUGAGACACGGCCCAGAGUCCUACGGGAGGCAGCAGUGGGGAAUAUUGGACAAUGGGGGGAACCCUGAUCCAGCCAUGCCGCGUGUGUGAAGAAGGCCUUAUGGUUGUAAAGCACUUUAAGCGAGGAGGAGGCUACUCUAGUUAAUACCUAGGGAUAGUGGACGUUACUCGCAGAAUAAGCACCGGCUAACUCUGUGCCAGCCGCCGCAGUAA